GGGUCGAGCGGGGUUUUCGGACCUAGCGGCGGACGGGUGAGUAAUGCGUAGGAAGCUGCCCGAUAGAGGGGGAUACCAGUUGGAAACGACUGUUAAUACCGCAUAAUGUCUACGGACCAAAGUGUGGGACCUUCGGGCCACAUGCUAUCGGAUGCGCCUACGUGGGAUUAGCUAGUUGGUGAGGUAAUGGCUCACCAAGGCGACGAUCUCUAGCUGGUUUGAGAGGAUGAUCAGCCACACUGGAACUGAGACACGGUCCAGACUCCUACGGGAGGCAGCAGUGGGGAAUAUUGGACAAUGGGCGCAAGCCUGAUCCAGCCAUGCCGCGUGUGUGAAGAAGGCCUUCGGGUUGUAAAGCACUUUCAGCGAGGAGGAAGGGUGGUGUGUUAAUAGCGCAUCAUUUUGACGUUACUCGCAGAAGAAGCACCGGCUAACUCUGUGCCAGCAGCCGCGGUAAUACAGAGGGUGCAAGCGUUAAUCGGAAUUACUGGGCGUAAAGCGCACGUAGGCGGUUUUUUAAGUCAGAUGUGAAAGCCCCGGGCUCAACCUGGGAAUUGCAUUUGAAACUGGAGAACUAGAGUGUGUGAGAGGGGGGUAGAAUUCCCAGUGUAGCGGUGAAAUGCGUAGAGAUUUGGAGGAAUACCAGUGGCGAAGGCGGCCCCCUGGCACAACACUGACGCUCAGGUGCGAAA
rnacentral:rRNA from 1 species